GAUGAACGCUGGCGGCGUGCCUAAUACAUGCAAGUCGAGCGAACGGACGAGAAGCUUGCUUCUCUGAUGUUAGCGGCGGACGGGUGAGUAACACGUGGAGAACCUACCUAUAAGACUGGGAUAACUUCGGGAAACCGUAGCUAAUACCGGAUAAUAUUUUGAACCGCAUGGUUCAAAAGUGAAAGACGGUCUUGCUGUCACUUAUAGAUGGAUCCGCGCUGCAUUAGCUAGUUGGUAAGGUAACGGCUUACCAAGGCAACGAUGCAUAGCCGACCUGAGGGAGUGAGCGGCCACACUGCAACUGCAACACGGUCCAGCUUCCUAGAGUCGGCAGCAGUAAAAACUCUUCCGAAAUGGACGAAAGCCUGACGGAGCAAGCCAGCGAAAAUAAUGAAGCUCUUAGGAUCGUAAAACUCUGUUAUUAGGGAAGAACAUAUGUAUAAGUAACCGUGCACAUCUUGAGGGUACCUAAUCAGAAGGACACGGCUAACUACGUG
rnacentral:rRNA from 1 species